AAGGAAUAUUGCUCAAUGGGAGAAAUCCUGAAGCAGCAACGCCGCGUGGAGGAUGAAGGGUCUAUGACUUGUAAACUCCUGUAAAGAAGGAAAAAAUUCCCAUUAGAUGGGAGAUGAUGGUACUUCUGGAGUAAGCCCCGGCUAACUACGUGCCAGCAGCCGCGGUACUACGUAGGGGGCAAGCGUUGUCCGGAUUUACUGGGUGUAAAGGGUGCUCAGGCGGAUUUGUAAGUCAGAGGUGAAAUCUUACAGCUUAACUGUGAAACUGCCUGUGAUACGGCAAGCCUAGGGUAUGGAAGAGAGUGAUGGAAUAUCUGGUGUAGCAGUGAAAUGCGUAGAUAUCAGAUAGAACACCAAUGGCGAAGGCAGUCACUUGGUCCAUUACUGACGCUAAAGCACGAAAGCGUGGGUAGCAAACA
rnacentral:rRNA from 1 species